UGGAGGGCAGGCAUAAGGGAAUUUUGGACAAUGGGCGAAAGCCUGAUCCAGCAAUGCCGCGUGAGUGAAGAAGGCCUUCGGGUUGUAAAGCUCUUUUGUCAGGGAAGAAACGGUGAGAGCUAAUAUCUCUUGCUAAUGACGGUACCUGAAGAAUAAGCACCGGCUAACUACGUGCCAGCAGCCGCGGUAAUACGUAGGGUGCAAGCGUUAAUCGGAAUUACUGGGCGUAAAGCGUGCGCAGGCGGUUUUGUAAGUCUGAUGUGAAAUCCCCGGGCUCAACCUGGGAAUUGCAUUGGAGACUGCAAGGCUAGAAUCUGGCAGAGGGGGGUAGAAUUCCACGUGUAGCAGUGAAAUGCGUAGAUAUGUGGAGGAACACCGAUGGCGAAGGCAGCCCCCUGGGUCAAGAUUGACGCUCAUGCACGAAAGCGUGGGGAGCAAACAGGAUUAGAUACCCCCCGGUAGA
rnacentral:rRNA from 1 species